CGUCAAGAGCAACAACACCAAGACUAAGUGGGACCCAAACUUUCUCUAUAAACUACAUGAGUCUAGUGGCCAACCAAUUGCUUCAUUUUAUACUUGAUGAAAUAACAAAGUCAGGGAGCAUCAUUUCUCUUCUUCCUCUCUUCACGCAAACCACAUACACACCAUAGUCUGGAGCUCAAAUCUUCAAGUUUAUUCCCUAAAUCCAUGUUUAUAGAUUAAAUCCCAACAUACCCUUAUUUUGAAUCUAAUAGAGAACAAAUUCAUAGAGAAAAACAAGCUUUUCUUUGUUCUUCGUAAAACAAGACCACCAUCUCAAACUUAACCCAUUUUUCAUGAUUAGAUCUUAAGCUAUUAUCAACAAAGCUAUGGGAAGAAAUUAUGGAGAUUAAAUGUAAGUGUAAGCAAGAAAAAUCCAACCUUUCUCCUCUUUUUCACUCCUAACAGAAAACCCUUUCUUUCCAAUGCUUUACCCAAAUAAUCUAUUCUUGUACCCCAUGUUGGAAGGCUUUGCAUGCACGUAAAUCAGGAGUUUAAAUCUCUUGGCUAUGUUUGUAGAUGCUACUAGUAGAGCAUGUGAAAUUCUAUGGAAGAACUGUUUUGGGUACAUGAAUAGAAGCAGAGAAAUAACAAGAUUAAGGAAAUAUGGGAACUUGUAGAAGUUGGAAAUGACUUGGAGCUAGUGAGUAGCAAAGCUGCGUUUUCUGUCCAGUAGCUGUUCUGUUCUGCUACUAAAGGUUGAUUGUUCCUCUUCUGAUCAGCUACUCUUGGUAUUGAGAACUCAUGGUAGGAGAAACAAGAAUUUGGAAUGGUUGUGCAAAACCAGUAUUUUAGGACUGACCCUCACUAAUAAGGUGACUGUUCACUCUAUGUACAUCUGUUUUGUAUGGGGUUUGUUUCUAUGGUUAGCUAACGAAAUUUCGGUCGUUUCGACGCCAAUUUCAUGAAUUUUGGAGCUAUAACGAAUCCUAUAGUCGCGUUUGAAGUCCAGGGUCUGAUGCAGAAUUUUGGUCUGCAGGUUUAAGUUUUGUGGCUGCAAAAUCUGUUUUUCGGCUAGCUCUGAAGAUGUCAUUAGCACGGUUCAGGCGUCAUUUUCAGGUAAACAGGUUAACCGGAGCAAGGACCAGGCAGGAACUGAUGAUCGAGGCCGAGCUUGGAUUAUCGGAUUAGAAGACUUUCGUCUUCUUCUUUGUUUAUAUGUUAAGCUGUUAAGUUAGAAUUUAAUUCUCUUCCGUUGUAUUUAUACCGGAUUAUCACGUUAUUCUUGUGAUAUCUUGUAAUUCAAUCAAUUUAUUAUGUUAUUUUAAUGUACUCAGAUUCAAUUAUUAAUAUAUCGACUAAAUAUUCUAGACAA